rnacentral:rRNA from 1 species
AUUGAACGCUGGCGGCAGGCCUAACACAUGCAAGUCGAGCGAGCGGCGGACGGGUGAGUAAUGUCUGGGAAACUGCCUGAUGGAGGGGGAUAACUACUGGAAACGGUAGCUAAUACCGCAUACCAUCAGAUGUGCCCAGCUGGGAUUAGUUAGUAGGUGGGGUGACGGCUCCCCUAGGCGACGUUCCCUAGCUGGUCUGAGAGGAUGACCAGCCACACUGGAAGUGAGCAACGGUCCAGCCUCCUAGGUGAGGCAGCAGUGGGAAAUAUGGCACAAUGGGCGAAGGCCGGAUGCAGCCUGGCCGGGUGUGGGAAGAGGGCCUUCGGGUUGUAAAGUACUUUCAGCGGGGAGGGGUUCCCCGCAGAAGAAGCCCCGGCUAACUCCGUGCCAGCGGCGGCGUAAUAC